rnacentral:tRNA from 1 species
CAGGGGGUAGUUUAAGUUAAAACACUAGUUUUGGGGACUGGUAAUGUAUCAUUACUCCUCUGA